AUGGGAAAUAUUGUCAACACUGUUAGAAGAUUAGUGAAUGUGAUUUCUGAGGGCUUAUCUAGUACAGUAUCACCUAAAGAGAACUGUUCUACAGACGCUGUGGUUGCUAAGGGUUUGGAACGUGGUCCAGCCAGGGAUACACAUAAGAGCAAAGAGUUGAGACCGCACAGUGUUCCUUCUGGAAAUAAUUUGUUUCACUGCGAUGCUUAUGAGAAAUUGAUCAACGGUGAGCUUAAUUUAGGUUGUAGAAGCAGUCCUGAAGCUUCAGAGGACUAUAAAAUGAUACCAAAUGCAGAUAGAGCAGUGUCUGGUCCUUUGGAUGUGAGAGGUUGUGAAAGUACCCCUAAAGCUUUGUUAAGGAGACAAGCCGAGCAGAAAAUAACUAAUGAGAAAGCAUCAAUUCAGGCGAUGGUGCCAACUGGAACUUCAGCCUCUCCAGAUGUGAAACAUCCUAAAACGGUGCUAUCUCCGCUUACCCGCAGUCGCAGUAAGGCUAUGGCUGUUUCCACACCUGAACAUCUCAAACUGAGAAACGCCAGAUCAGGUCAACUAGUAGUUCCACGGUUGGAUUCAGGAAGCCAAAAAAUUAUCUAUGACGUGGCAGAAGUACCUAUCACCCCAUUGGUGGAGCAAAGUUCUGCAGGUAAAGCGUUGCCGAGUACACCAUCACAAAUGAUCAAAACUCCAAUUCCAUAUGGACGAUCUCCACUUCCUCGUAAUAAGGAUAAGGUGUUAUCUGUUGCCACGCCCGAAACUCCCAAACUGAGAAGCUCUAGAUCAGGUCGACUGAUAGUUCCACGUUUGGAUCCAGGAACACAAAAUAUUAUCUAUGACGCGGAUGGUUCUAUCUGCGGCGUAACCAACUCAGAGCUGCAACGGCUUCAAGGGUGCAAUUCGGAACCACCUGCUAAGAGGAGGUCUCGGUGUUCAUCCCCCGACCAUGGCAGGUCCUUGAUAUGGUUCAAGGGUUUGUGGUAA
rnacentral:rRNA from 1 species